rnacentral:rRNA from 1 species
GACAGAGGGGCCGAGCGUUAGGCGGAAGCACUGGGCUUAAAGCGUGUGUAGGCGGGCCGUUAAGUGUCUUGUGAAAUCCCCCGGCUCAACCGGGGAAUUGCUGGGCAUACUGGCGGUCUUGAGCAAUCUAGGGGCAGAUGGAACAAGUGGUGGAGCGGUGAAAUGCGUAGAUAUCACUUGUAACGCCAAAGGUGAAGACAGUCUGCUGGGGAUUUGCUGACGCUGAGACACGAAAGCCAGGGGAGCGAACGGG